rnacentral:rRNA from 1 species
AUUGAACGCUGGCGGCAGGCCUAACACAUGCAAGUCGAGCGGAUGAAGGGAGCUUGCUCCUGGAUUCAGCGGCGGACGGGUGAGUAAUGCCUAGGAAUCUGCCUGGUAGUGGGGGAUAACGUCCGGAAACGGGCGCUAAUACCGCAUACGCCCUGAGGGAGAAAGUGGGGGAUCUUCGGACCUCACGCUAUCAGAUGAGCCUAGGUCGGAUUAGCUAGUUGGUGGGGUAAAGGCCUACCAAGGCGACGAUCCGUAACUGGUCUGAGAGGAUGAUCAGUCACACUGGAACUGAGACACGGUCCAGACUCCUACGGGAGGCAGCAGUGGGGAAUAUUGGACAAUGGGCGAAAGCCUGAUCCAGCCAUGCCGCGUGUGUGAAGAAGGUCUUCGGAUUGUAAAGCACUUUAAGUUGGGAGGAAGGGCAGUAAGUUAAUACCUCGCUGUUUUGACGUUACCAACAGAAUAAGCACCGGCUAACUUCGUG